rnacentral:lncRNA from 1 species
AAUCAGGCGCGCAGCCAGGGAGGAAGGGGCGGCUUCCGGAAUCUGGCGCGGCCUUUGUCUCACUUCAGCCAGAGCGCGGGGUUAGGGCUUCAUUGCCUUGUGUCCUCUGCUCCGGGAGACUUCGGUGAUUCUGCCACUCACUCCGUCGCUCUGUGACCUGCUGGCAUUGAAUGAUUUAUAGCUAAGACUCCAGGACACCCCUGAAGCCGAGAAAUGUGGAAAAGCGAGAUUGUCUUUGACCAUUUGCUAUGGACAUUGUCAGGGAUGGUGCAGCCUGAAUGAGAAUGUCUGCGGUAUUUCCCGAAAUAAGUAUCCCUCAAGGAUGAUACUGUGGACCUCACUCAGGAAGAAUGUGUCCUUCAGGGAAAGCUGCACAGAGACGUGAUGCUGGAGAAGCAGUCAUCUGGUUACUUUAGGUUUGUGCCCCAGGAAGUAGUGUGUUGAUUUGAAGCCCUAAAAAAAAUAUUUUCCACACUCAAGAGUGACUUAUCCAGACCGAUUUUACCUAAGAAACAAGCCUGAAGGAGGAGAGAGAAGAAAGAAGAGUCAGAACUAGCACUUUCCCAGCAUGAAUGAGAGAUCCUUUCGCUUCACGUCUUUGCCAGCAUUUGGUGUUGUCAGUGUUCUAGAUUUUGGCCAUUAUAGUACAUGACUUCAGGCUCCUAUGUGCAGAAGUCCUCAACCCCCAGGCUGCAGACCAGUACCUGUCCAUGGCCUGUUAGGAAACUGGCCGCACAGCAGGAGGUGAAAUGAUUAUUGCAGUUUCGAGGGGAGAUGAUGUCACAAGAUCUCGAACCCAUAUCUCAGAACCGCCUGCCUCCUCCCACACACUCUGGCUGUCCUGACCAUCACUUCAAGCCCACCAGCCCUGCAGCAAAAAAAAUCAAACGAGUAGUUCAGAAGGCAAAGUCUGCAAGGGAAGGAAGUAUAUUGGGAGGUACAGUAAGUAUUCCUGUCUGGAGAAGGUCUUCUUUGGGGCUAGAAACUGAGCCAGUGCUAAAGCCAUGCAGGAAGGAGGAAAUAAUCAGUGAGCCACGGGCUGAACUUGUGGAAAAGAAAUGGAGGGCAAGGUCACAAACCAGUCCCUAACUGCUUCUAAUUUAAUGUAAUCCUCACUGUUUGUCAUUAUUGCUUUUGAUGGCCAUGAAAUCUGUUUUUUCCCAGUUCUCUAGUGUAAUUUGGAAUUAAUUUCCCAGCUGCUUUAUUUUUUUUCUAGAAGAGUCGGGGACAUUUUCAGGAUUAGUAGAGGUGUUUCUACAACACCUUCAUGCCUUCGAUAGUGUGUAAGAGUUCACCAAUUGAAUUACCUUAUUCUGUUCAGAAGUAGUAACUAUGGAGUUUAACCACUCUGGACAUAUUAUAUACUUAAUGGAGACCAUAGCUGUGUGGUGACUGAAAACAUGCAUUGUCUACUCCUUAUGGUGAGACUGCUUUCCUUCAUGAAGUCAGUAAAGAAGGGUAACUUUUCUGUAGAUUUUUGUAUUUUUAAAAAAGGUCAAGAUCUUCGGCAGUUUUCUGAAUUGAAUUGUUUGUGAUAUUUGCUCUGUUUUUAAAAUCUUCUAAGGCCAUUACCAGGUUCAGUGCUUAUCUUAGUACAAUUUAAAUUGAUUCCGUGAAUAAUUUUUCCUGCCUCCAGUUUCCCUUUUACAUAGUGGGCUCAUGUUUUAAUAUGUUAAACAAUUCUGACAUUGAAAUAAUUUUAUUUUAUAUUUUUGCAUCCACAAAUACUAAUUUUCUCCAUAUAUUAAUGGUGAUGUAGUUUCUCCUCUGCAAUAUUUUAUUGCCUACUCAUGUUUUAUGUCCCCUGGAUUACAGCACUGUCAUUCCACUGUGCCCUAUUUCUUGGUUAUGAUGAAAAGACUCUUAAUUCCAGUAUGAAAUCAUUUCUGCAUUCCAUAAAUUUCAUUUGGCAUCUGUGGAAUUAAGGCAUCUUCAUUGUAUUUGGAUCUCUGAAUCAUAAGUGAUAUUUGCCUAUAAAUUAAGCAAUGAUAUUUAAAUAAGAGAUUACCACAAUCAUAUUUUAUAAAUAUACAACCAUUUUUAAAAACCUGACAAAAUCUACAAAAAAAAGAAAAUGAAAUAUAUGUGGAGUUUUAGAAAAGACUGACUAGGUCCAAGGUUGAGGCACAUAGUGGUUAAGCACAUUGUCAGCUCCGGACUCUGCCUCUUACAAGGAAGGAGGGGGCUUUAGAUGUUAUUUAGCUGUUAUUUAGCCUUUCUACACCUAAGUUCCCCUCACCUGUAAAAAAAAAAAUAAUAAUAAAUUGCUUACUUUGUAGAA